rnacentral:misc_RNA from 1 species
ACAAACUUGGUCAUUUAGAGGAAGUAAAAGUCGUAACAAGGUUUCCGUAGGUGAACCUGCGGAAGGAUCAUUAUUGAAUAAACCUGGUGGACUGUCGCUGGCUCCUCGGAGCAUGUGCACGUCUGCCAUCUUUAUCCAUCCACCUGUGCACCAUAUGUAGUCCUUGAAGGUCAUUGAAUGUGUAGUGGCUCGCAGCAGCCGCGAAAGUGCCUUGUCCCUCACGGGUCUAUGUCUUUUACAUACACCACUUGGCAUGUCAAUGAAUGUGAUUGUUGGGUCAGUGUACCUAUACAAAUGUAAUACAACUUUCAGCAACGGAUCUCUUGGCUCUCGCAUCGAUGAAGAACGCAGC